AGUGCACACGUGGCACAUGCCGAUUCCGAGCACCGGCGGCGCCCGCCUGGCGGCUGCUCGCUACGUUUUGUUUGCC
rnacentral:sRNA from 2 species